GAUGAACGCUGGCGGCGUGCCUAAUACAUGCAAGUCGAGCGAACAGACGCGGAGCUUGCUCCUCUGACGUUAGCGGCGGACGGGUGAGUAACACGUGGAUAACCUACCUAUAAGACUGGGAUAACUUCGGGAAACCGGAGCUAAUACCGUAUAAUAUAUUGAACCGCAUGGUUCAAUAGUGAAAGACGGUUUUGCUGUCACUUAUAGAUGGAUCCGCGCCGCAUUAGCUAGUUGGUAAGGUAACGGCUUACCAAGGCAACGAUGCGUAGCCGACCUGAGAGGGUGAUCGGCCACACUGGAAGUGAGACACGGUCCAGACGACUACGGGAGGGAGCAGUAGGGAAUCGGCCGCAAUGGGCGAAAGCCUGACGGAGCAACGCCGAAUGAGUGAUGAAGGUCUUCGGAGCGGAAAACUCUGUUAUUAGGGAAGAACAAAUGUGUAAGUAACUAUGCACGUCUUGACGGUAACUAAUCAGAAAGCCACGGCUAACUACGUG
rnacentral:rRNA from 1 species